AGAGGAUAUAUUUAAAAAUUGUUAAGAGGGAGUUCCCAUCAUGGCGCAGCGGAAACAAAUCUGACUAGGAACCAUGAGGUUGCAGGUUCAAUUCCUGGCCCUGCUCAGUGGGUUAAAGAUCUGAUGUUGCCAUGAGUUGUGGUGUAGGUCUCAGACGCUGCUCGAUCCUGCGUUGCUCUAGCUGUGGCGGAGGCUGGCAGCUGUAACUCCUAUUCGACCCCUAGUAUGGGAACCUCCAUAUGCCGUGGCCCCAAAAAGCAAAACAUAAAUAAAUAAAUAAACUUAAAAAAUAAAAAUGUAAGAAUUUUCUGACUUGAGGAGAGACAUAAGUUCAGAGUAAAAAUCUCCACCAAGUAUCAAUCAUAACAAAGAAAAAUCAGUCCAAACUCAUACCUGCCUUAAUGAAACUGUAGUAUAUCAAGGAUAAGGAAGAGAGUUGAUAGUUGGAAGAGAAAGAUGUGAUGGGAGACCUCUCAGCAGCUAUAAUAACUGUUAGAAGAACAUGGAAUAAUGCCUUCAUGAUCCUAAAGGAAUAUCAUUUUAUAUAUAAAUUAUAUACCUCGCUAACAUACUAUUUAAUGAGGUUGUAAUAAAUAUACCUUCAGUUAUAUAAGGCUAAGAGUAUUUAUCUAUUACUCCAUACCCUCAUUAAAACAAUGACUGUGACAUUCCUUUAUUGAAAGUAAAAGAGGAAUAUGUAAGAAAAUAAUGACAAAAUAUGUGAAUAAAUAGAAUAAACUAAUUGCAAAAAUAUUAUGAAAUUUUUAAAAUUUAACAUUUUAGACAAGUAUAAAGUUGAGCAUUAGAGCUACUUAAAACAUGCUCACAUCUUUAGAUUUGGUUAAAAAAAUUCAUAGUUCUGCAUGUUAAAUAAUAAUUGCUGAAGGAAGAGUUACCAAACCAGCAAAGGGGAAAAUGAUGACGAUGACGAUGAUAAUGCUGCUGCUGCAGCUGCUGCUGCUAACUUCUUUGGUCCACAGGAAUGUAGAAAAGCAAUGAGAAAACAAAAACCUAUCAAGGCAUAAGUCAAAAAUAGAAAAUGAGAUAGUAUACAUAGAAUUCAUCACAUCAUGUUAAGAAGGUUAAAUGCUCUCAAUAAAAUAUUAGAUUGAACACAGUCUACCUAUAGAAUUGGUCCUUCCCCUAUCUGUGGGUUUAGCAUCUACGGAUGGAUUCAAUCCACAGCUGGCUGAAUGUACACAUGUAGAACCAGAGAUACCUAGGGCCUACUGUUCUCACCAUUUUAUGUAAUGGACUUGAACAUCCACAGAUUUUUGGUGUCAGGGGAGAACGGGGGAGGAGGGUCUGGGAACCAGUCCCCUUUCAAUUCAGGGGGACAACUGUAUACUGGUUUUGGGGGUAUAAGUGAAAAAAAAAUGGCAUAGAAAAGUUAAAAUUAAGGAGCUUUUAACACUCAAAGGCUAAUCAAAAAAGUUUCUGCUGCGUACUAAUAGCAAAGUAGAAUUUAAAGCAAAGGCCUUCAAUAGGACAAUUAUUUCAUUCUAAUAAAAUGAAAAUUCUAAUAGAAGCAAAACGGUGUAAAAAUAAAUAAUAUGUAGAUAAUAAUAGAACCUUGAAAUGCACAAAGCAGAAAACAAACCUCAAAUUAAGGAAAUUGACAGAUCUAGAAAUACCAUGGAAAAUUUUAACAUAUUUUUAUCUUAAUAAAGUAGGCAAAAUAUUAGCCAGUAUAUGGGACUAUACUAUGAACAAAACAGUAAGAUUGCUCAUAUAUAUUGAUAAUGUAUGUAUUUUAAAAGCAUAUGAAUCAUAAAACAGGUCAUAUAACAGACCAGAAUAGUAUUUCAAAAUAUAUCAAAAGACUAGCCUAAUGCAGACCUCCUAGUAUGGUUAAAGUAUUCUCUACUCAGCAUACCUUUCCCAUAGCAUUAGGUUUCUAGCAGCCACAGAAUAAGCACUAAGAUAUUGAAUUACCUGAACUAGUGUCGUAAAAGCUACAUUAUAUUCUAGAUUUCAUUCUUCACUGUUUUAUACAUAUGCAGCCUAAAACUGUCCGUGAACUUAUAGAAGUCCUGUAAGGUGCAUAGAAGAAAAAAACAGAAAAUGAACAAAACCAGACUAGUCUUUCACCAUAUGAAAAAGCUAUAUGCUUUCAUUCUUUCUUUCUUUUUUUUUUUCAGUUACAUUUGGAAGUGUAAAAUCUCUAAAAUUAGUGAAAACAAAAUAACAAUUAUUUCAAAAUUAUAAAUUGACUGAGGCAUUAAUUUUUACUAAUUAAUAUUACAUUGUUUGAUUUACUACUUAAGCAUUUUGUAUUAAUCUCAUCAAUGAAAACUUUAUUGCUUUUGCUUCUAUUAAAAGAGAAAAAAAUGCUUGGUUAGCUAUCAUGAAACACGACGGUAGCUGAUAAAAAGCUGAGACUAUAUGCCCUUUGGAAACAAAAAAAAAUUCUCUUACAUGGUUAGAGUUUACAGGUAUAAACAUCCUAGGAGAAAAAGAAAGGCUGGAUGUUCUAAAAAGUAGACAUUUUAUCUAUAAUAUUUACAUUGGAAAGAUACCAUGUCUAAUCCAACAUUGCUUAAAAUGUGGUUAAUAUCAUUUUACCUUUACAAAUAUCUGCCAGUCAUAGAUCAUCAGUAUAAUUAUUGUUGUACAUAGGUAUUUUUAUUGUGAGGAACUGAGGCUCACUCAAACGUCUUUAAGAUUAAAACUGUACCCUUCAUUUCUCCCUCCCCAAACUCUGUCAUCAAGGACAUACACAUUUGAUACACUAUUUUUAAUGUGAUGUUUUUAAGGUAAGGGUGUAUAUAAACUGAACUCAAAUGAAACAGGAAAACCCCAGAAAUUGAAACUGGUCUAGAAUUUGACAGUUUUCUCCAUCUCACUUGUGUGAUCUUUCUAGUAACUUACUGUCAAGACAUUUUUUUUUUUCUUUUUUCUUUUUUUGUCUUUUUGCUAUUUCUUGGGCCGCUCCCGCGGCAUAUGGAGGUUUCCAGGCUAGGGGUCCAAUCGGAGCUGUAGCCGCCAGCCUACGCUAGAGCCACAGCAACGCAGGAUCCGAGCCGAGUCUGUGACCUACACCACAGCUCCGGGCAACGCCGGAUCGUUAACACACUGAGCAAGGGCGGGAUCGAACCUGCAACCUCAUGGUUCCUAGUCGGAUUUGUUAACCACUGCGCCAUGGCGGGAACUCCAAGACAUUUCUGCUUCCUUAACAUGUGUUUCACUCUUCCUUCAUUUUCUCCGAACCAGCUUCUCUGGUUGGUUAUAGGUUGUGUUUUCUAAAUGGUUGUUCUCACAAUGAAUAGGUGGGCACGUUAAAAAAAAAAAAAAAAAAAAAAAA
rnacentral:lncRNA from 1 species